AGUGAACGCUGGCGGUAGGCCUAACACAUGCAAGUCGAACGGCAGCACAGUAAGAGCUUGCUCUUACGGGUGGCGAGUGGCGGACGGGUGAGGAAUACAUCGGAAUCUACUUUUUCGUGGGGGAUAACGUAGGGAAACUUACGCUAAUACCGCAUACGACCUACGGGUGAAAGCAGGGGAUCUUCGGACCUUUCGCGAUUGAAUGAGCCGAUGUCGGAUUAGCUAGUUGGCGGGGUAAAGGCCCACCAAGGCGACGAUCCGUAGCUGGUCUGAGAGGAUGAUCAGCCACACUGGAACUGAGACACGGUCCAGACUCCUACGGGAGGCAGCAGUGGGGAUUAUUGGACAAUGGGCGCAAGCCUGAUCCAGCCAUACCGCGUGGGUGAAGAAGGCCUUCGGGUUGUAAAGCCCUUUUGUUGGGAAAGAAAAGCAGCAGGUUAAUACCCCGCUGUUCUGACGGUACCCAAAGAAUAAGCACCGGCUAACUUCGUG
rnacentral:rRNA from 1 species